GAUGUUUCUCCUGCUCCUGCCCUUGCUAUGAUGUGCUGCCUUGUCACAGGUCCCAAAGCAGUGGGCCGACUGACCAUGGCUGAAACCUUCACAGUAUGAGGCAAACACCAGGUGUCCUGGUUCAACCACAAAGUUCACAUUGGCAUCCUGCUGCUGUGUGGUAGCAUAGCUGCCCUAAAAAGAAGCUUAUGAGGUAAGAAGCCGAGGUCUCCAGCCAGCAGCCAGGUGAGUGAACUUGGAAGAGGCCCUCAAGGUGGAGGUCGAAAGACAUCAUGGCCGCCCCAAAAACUGAGCCAGACUGAUUGACUGGUCUCAUAUUCUUGGCUUAUUGAGAUUGUACAAAGGUUGUUCUUAUCUUCUAAGUUUUGGGGUUUCAUAGCAAUAUAGGCUG